UACGCAGGGUGCAAGCGUUAAUCGGAAUUACUGGGCGUAAAGCGUACGCAGGCGGCUAUGUAAGACAGGUGUGAAAUCCCCGGGCCUAACCUGGGAACCGCAUUUGUGACUGCAUAGCUAGAGUCCGUCAGAGGGGGGUGGAAUUCCACGUGUAGCAGUGAAAUGCGUAGAGAUGUGGAGGAACACCGAUGGCGAAGGCAGCCCCCUGGGAUGAGACUGACGCUCAUGUACGAAAGCGUGGGGAGCAAACAGG
rnacentral:rRNA from 1 species